rnacentral:misc_RNA from 1 species
GAAAUGCGAUAAGUAGUGUGAAUUGCAGAAUUCAGUGAAUCAUCGAAUCUUUGAACGCACAUUGUGCCCUUUGGUAUUCCUUAGGGCAUGCCUGUUCGAGCGUCAUCUAAACCUUCAAGCCCUGCUUGGUGUUGGGUGUCUGUCCCGCCUCCGCGCGCGGACUCACCUCAAAUCCAUUGGCGGCCCCCGCGUCGGCCACGAGCGCAGCAGAAACGCGAACUCGUGAGCCCGUCCGGGCGGCUCCCAGAAGCUACACCCACCCAGUUUGACCUCGGAUCAGGUAGGGAUACCCGCUGAACUUAAGC